AUACAGAGGGUGCGAGCGUUAAUCGGAAUUACUGGGCGUAAAGGGCGCGUAGGCGGCUUGGUAAGUCUCUUGUGAAAGCUCCCGGCUUAACUGGGAGAGGUCAAGGGAUACUGCCAGGCUCGAGGGCAGUAGAGGAAGGCGGAAUUCCCGGUGUAGCGGUGAAAUGCGUAGAUAUCGGGGGGAACACCAGUGGCGAAAGCGGCCUUCUGGGCUGUGCCUGACGCUGAGGCGCGAGAGCGUGGGGAGCAAACUGGAUUAGAAACCCCGGUAGUCC
rnacentral:rRNA from 1 species